UACGAAGGGUGCAAGCGUUAAUCGGAAUUACUGGGCGUAAAGCGUGCGUAGGCGGUGAUUUAAGUCUGCUGUGAAAUCCCCGGGCUCAAUCUGGGAAUGGCAGUGGAUACUGGAUCGCUAGAGUGUGAUAGAGGAUGGUGGAAUUCCCAGUGUAGCGGUGAAAUGCGUAGAUAUUGGGAGGAACACCAGUGGCGAAGGCGGCUCACUGGACCGGAACUGACGCUGAGGCGCGAAAGCGUGGGGAGCAAACGGG
rnacentral:rRNA from 1 species